GGGCGGACGGGACCGUGUCUGCAGGUUUCUGGCGAACCUGUGCUGAAUGACAAGACGAUCUAGCGCCUCGUGUAGCUAACUAGGUCACUGUCAGCACUUAAUUACUGUUUGUUUCAUUUUAGUGCGUGCCUUAUGAAUAAACCGGCUAUUAGGCUGAUGCUUCAAGUAACUCUAUCCAGCACCAAGGCUCCUCUGUUCAGAUAGCAGAAGCAAGACAAAGCAUCGUCCUUUUUGUGCGCACUGAUUUAAGAAGUCCAACACACCUGAAACCAAGGCAAUUAGCUUUCAGCCUGUGUACCACAGAACGUUGCACUGUUACUGAAGACCUAAAAUUUGAAGUCUGUGGUCCUCAGAGUUGAGGGAAGUUGAGCCUAAAGAGAAGCUGCCAUGUUUGCUGGAUGUGUUAAAGACUGGGAUUUAUAAGCAUAAGUUUUAAGACAUAUACAUAUAUGAAAUGAGUUUCACAUCUAAAACAGUGCAAAUGUAGGAUGUUGCUGGAGUGGCUGUCCUUCCCCUACCUCUUCAUACAGAUGAGACAAAAGACCCAUACCACAGGCUUGAGUUUGCCUUUGCAGCUCCGCCUUCCCCCACGUCUUCUCUGCAACCCUUUGGAGCUGGAGCUGCAGCAUGUCGGUGUGGAGCUUAAAGAUUCCCCCAGAAGUUCAGAGGGAAGACUGAAAUUGAAAUUAAACCUAAAUUAUGACUUUAUGGUCUAAAAGGUAAACUUAAGCAACUGAAAAUUAAGUAUAGACUUUAACUGCUCAUUUUCAAUUUGAAAGCCUUCCCCCCCCAUGUCAAUCCUAUCAAGCCUAUGCCACACUUUAGAGAAACAAGAGGAGAGGGAGCUCUUAACAGCUUAGAAUGGAAGUGUCACUGAUGGAAAGGAGCUGGGCUGGGAGCCCGAGUUAAUCUAGCAACAUCAGCCUCACCUUCUCCAGUGUCUUCCUUCAGCAACUAGAGAUUUGACUUCCGCGGAACAACCCCAUUGUGUACCAGCACAACCCAACUCCUCAUCAUGCGUUAUAGUCCCAGCACAGGAGUGGUGCUUGAGUUGCUUGAAAGCUUUGGGAGGCUCCAGAAUGACAAGUCAAAUGUCUCUGCAUAUGAAGUAAGAAGAUACAGCGUGCAGUUAAUCUUUGGGACAGGCUAAGAGUAGUCCAAAUGAGCUAAAUUCAUGUUCUUCAGUUUAGAACCUUAUUUAGCACAAUAAGAAAUUAUAAAAGUAAAAAUCUAUGUUCAUUAUGUGAGCUAGAGGAGAUGAUAUGGAAAGUCAGGAAUGGAAAUGAAAAAACAGAAUAACUUGUUUAUCCUUCUUUUAAAAAGUAAAAUUUCCAGAUUUUAGCUACAAAGAUAAAGUUCACAGUCUUCCAGCCCAGCCGCUGUACUUUUCUGGGAAUUGAGAAACACUAUAUAAAGAACUUGGUGUUAUAAUUAAAUUUCUCUUUCACACAACUUCAGUUUCCAUCUAAAACGACUCCCAGUUCAGCAUUUCAUGUAAAAUCAGAGGAGCCAGGUGCUUCAGAAUUGCUGUGGCUGAACUGGACAGAGAAUAUUAUGUUUUUCUCUUAAAUGUAAUCAGUGAUGCCUCAGAAGCAGUUGACAUCCUUUUAAGUUUUUUAUUUCACUUAAAAUGGUAAAAAUCCCUUCAAUUUUCUUAUCUCUAAUAGUUUCUUAAACUU